AUUGAACGCUGGCGGCAUGCCUUACACAUGCAAGUCGAACGGUAACAGGUUAAGCUGACGAGUGGCGAACGGGUGAGUAAUGUAUCGGAACGUGCCCAGUCGUGGGGGAUAACUGCUCGAAAGAGUAGCUAAUACCGCAUACGACCUGAGGGUGAAAGCGGGGGAUCGCAAGACCUCGCAGCAUUGGCGCGGCCUAUAUCAGAUUAGGUAGGUGGUGGGGUAAAGGCCUACCAAGCCUACGAUCUGUAGCGGGUCUGAGGGGACGACCAGCCACACUGGGACUGAGACACGGCCCAGACUCCUACGGGAGGCAGCAGUGGGGAAUUUUGGACAAUGGACGCAAGUCUGAUCCAGCCAUGCCGCGUGCGGGAAGAAGGCCUUCGGGUUGUAAACCGCUUUUGUCAGGGAAGAAAAGGUUCUGGUCAAUACCUGGGACUCAUGACGGUACCUGAAGAAUAAGCACCGGCUAACUACGUGCCAGCAGCCGCCGUAAGAC
rnacentral:rRNA from 1 species